UAGGAGCAGCAAAGGCAGCAAGCAGUUAGGAGCAAACUAAAGCAGCUUUGUUAGGGCGCCCUGUUUGAGUGUAGCCAUUUAGCAGCGAGGGGAGUUGACCAGCUGAUGUGCUGAUGCAGAUCAGCUGAUGCAGAUCAGCUGAUGCCACCACGUUGUUGGCCAGUAGCGGUUAGCAGUGUCUUG